UUCUUGUGAUGUUUGGAAUAGCAGGAAACAAGGACACCCUUUACUCCAGGAUGUCUGGGAGUGACACCUGAAAACGCCGAAGCCACAAAGGCAGUGAGAACAAAAAAACUCGCAGUCAAACCCCACCUGUCUCCUGGACGCCCAGAUGGGGAAGUCAUAACUGAGAUUUUCUCGCUUUUUGCAGAGGAAGAAACUGUCUCGAGGACUUUGGCAGUUCUCUCUGGGCAGCCCUGGCCAGACUGCAACAUGAGAAUCGAUCUGACUUCAGCCUCUGUCUGUAAACUUCUCAUGCUACAGCCUGGGGUGGGGUCGUGCGAACCUAGUCCU
rnacentral:lncRNA from 1 species